rnacentral:lncRNA from 1 species
CAUGUUGCUGGUGUGGCCAAAACAAAAACAAAAAUAAAAGCAAAAGAGAACCAACCCUCCAACCCCCAAAACCUCUUUUCCCCUUUUAUUCAUAUCAAAUCUAGUUUCAUGUAUUUUCAUGACAAAUGAUGUUUGAUAUAUAUCACAGAGUAGCAAUGCAAAACCGAGACUCCUUUGAGAUCCUAAUUAACAAUAUGGAGAGAUUCAUUCUCUUCUCUUCUGCUUUGGAAGUGUAUGGAACACUCUGGGCACGUUGGUUCUUUGCAGCUUUUUUACUUUUAGGGCCACACCUGCAGAAUGUGGAGGUUCCCAGAUUAGAGGUUGAAUCAGGGAGAGAGCCUCCAGCCCCCCCAGCCACAGCCAAUGGGAUCAAACCCGUGUCCUCAUGGAUAGUAGUCAGACUCAUUUCCACUGAGCCCCAACAGGAACUCCCUUUGGCAGCUUUCUAGGAGCAUCUAAGAAGCCCACAGCACAAGGGUGAUCUCUUGGGCUUUCCUCUUCCAGACAGAUGGAAGAGGCCCCCUGGCGUCGUUUCCUGUGUACUGCAGCGUUACAGCCAUGCCAACAUUCCCAUUCAUCUAUCUCCUUUUUAUACACAACAUCCCAAGAAUCCAGGUGGAAGAGUUACCUCUUCGCCCCUUUGUUUAGAUGUGGAUGGUGGUAGUUGUGUAAUUCUCAAGUGGAAAUGUUAGACAUUGUCCAAUGGUACUAAUCCACAAUUAAAUCAUGAUUACUGUGUACGUGCUAUCUUUGUAGAGCACCUAAAGAAAAUCUUCUUCUUAGUAAUCAUCUGAAACUAACAUUUUCCCUGUAUCUUUUGAUCAGAAUCUAUAACCAUGGAAUUCUUAGACUAAUUCUCUUCUAGCCCAAACUAAAGUAACCAUCCUUCUUUAAUAGAACUGUUCCUGUGUUUCAUGGGUGGUUUGGAACAACCGUUUUCUUCAGUAGGGGCAGUCGUCAGACAGCAUAUUAAUAUUUAAUAUUUCUUUUCCUUUGCCAAAUCCUGAGGACAAGCUGAGAAGAAAAUCUCCCCAGCAGGCAUUAGGGAGGUGGGAGUCAUCUUCUCAUCUGUUUUUGGGGGGCCCAGACAUAAAUACAGUCUUCCAAGGAAAUACAUUUCCAUGGGUAGAUGUAUGGUAGCAGUUUGUGAAUAGCUUAAAAGCAUCAGGAAAAGUAUUUCCUUACACUCUACUCCUUAACGCAAUGUACUGUCUGAGCAUUUCUGAAGUAGUCAGGACCUUCUAUGAGAAGUGACCCAGUGACAGUGAUAGAGCAAAACCCAGGAUCUCAGGGUAUUGCCACUGUCAAUUAGUCUCCCCCCCUGGGAGUUUGGCCAGCAUUUCAUCAUUAACACUGAGAAAACCUUUACAGUGUGAGGACACAGAAUUUUGUUUAUUUAUUUAUUUAUUUUUUAUAGUUAACUGACAGUGUUGUGUCAAUUUCUGUUGUACAGCAUGGCGACCUAGUCGUUUAUCUAUCAUCUAUCUCUCAUCUCUCAUCUAUCCUUAUAUAUAUUCUUUUUCUGCUAUUAUCUUCCAUCAUAUUCUAUCCCAAGAGGUUGGGUAUAGUUCCCUGUGCGAUCCAGUAGGACCUCGUUGUUGAUCCCCUCCAAACGCAGUUGUUUGCAUCUACUCACCCCAAACUCCCCCCCAUCCAUCCCACUUCCUUCCCCCUCCCCCUUGGCAACCCAAGUCUGUUCUCCAUGUCUAGACAUAAACGGUCUUUUAGGUUGAAUAUUGGGAAAUUGAAGAUGAAAACAAUAGAUAAUUUAUCGAAUCUUUCUGUUGAAGAAAAUAGAAGAUGAGAAAAUUGCCUUUAGGAGUUCCCAUCAUGCUUCAGUGGUUAAUGAACCCGCCUAGUAUCCACGAGGACCCAGGUUUGCUCCCUGGCCUCACCCAGUGGGUUAAAGAUCCAGCAUUGCUGUGAGCCGUGGUGUAGGUCAUAGACUCAUCUGGGAUCCCACGUAGCUGUGGCUGU